GAUGAACGCUGGCGGCGUGCCUAAUACAUGCAAGUCGAGCGAACAGACGAGGAGCUUGCUCCUCUGACGUUAGCGGCGGACGGGUGAGUAACACGUGGAUAACCUACCUAUAAGACUGGGAUAACUUCGGGAAACCGGAGCUAAUACCGGAUAAUAUAUUGAACCGCAUGGUUCAAUAGUGAAAGACGGUUUUGCUGUCACUUAUAGAUGGAUCCGCGCCGCAUUAGCUAGUUGGUAAGGUAGCGGCUUACCAAGGCAACGAUGCGUAGCCGACCUGAGAGGGGUAUCCGCCACACCUGAACUUAGACCCCGUUCCGACCCCCUCCGGAGGCCGCCGGAGGGAAUCCUUCGCAAUGGGCGAAAGCCUGACGGAGCAACGCCGCGUGAGUGAUGAAGGUCUUCGGAUCGUAAAACUCUGUUAUUAGGGAAGAACAAAUGUGUAAGUAACUAUGCACGUCUUGACGGUACCUAAUCAGAAAGCCACGGCUAACUACGUG
rnacentral:rRNA from 1 species